ACUUUUUGUGAUGUCAUAAAAGCCUCCCGAGAACUCACAAUGAACAACAGACACAACCUUGCUGUUUCCCAGCACAUUUAGGACAUUCACCAACUGACAUUACUCUAUAUCAUUGUCAAAGUUAAUGGAGAACCAAAAAAUACCAAAGGGAAACCAAAGACAUAUAGCUUUUGCAACAAAACUAUUUAGAGGGGGCCCCCAAGUUGAAGAAACACCAAAGCUUCACAAAUGCAAGAGUGUCAGGCUUAAGUGUCACCCACAUAAGUCUGAACCAGCUGGUCUGAUUGAGAAAACAUUGCAAGAAGCUGAUGCUUUCUGUAGACGAGAAGGAGCACAACAUUCAGAAGACCUUAACUGUGGCUAAGUGGAUGUUUCUGGGAAGCCUACGAGCAAGUUUUGAAAGCAGUAGCCUUGGAAACAACAACAGUCCCCUGAAUGGCGUUGCUACCACCUUAGCAACUGUCAUGUUGCCCAUGAACCUGGGACACUUUUUAACCAUUAGCUAUUGCAGCCAUUCAUUCAUUUAUUUAUCUUCUAUUAAUUUGUUCUGA
rnacentral:lncRNA from 1 species